ACUGCAACUUGAGUUGAGUUGACGGAAAUAAGGAUUCAAAGUUGUUACAAUAUGAAAUUAUAAGUUACUGCAACUUGAGUUGAGUUAACAGAAAUGAGAAUUGAAAGUUGAGCAAACUCAAAAGCAAAACUUAAAAUGUUAUGUUUAAUUGCCCAACUUAAAAUUCUGCUGAAGUUUGUUACCUUACAAUUUUGAGUUCUGCUAGCUUUUUUUUUUUUUACAGUGCAGGUGUUGAAUUGGUCCGGUCGGCAGC